UAGUGAAUGUCAAGAAGAAGAAAACCAGACAGAGAAACUGGAAUAGGCCAAACAAAUAGGGUUUAUUGAUAUGGUUCAAGGACUAUUGAAAUCAUGCUUAGUAAGAAGAUGUGGUGCCGGAAAUUAAUGAACCGAAAUUGCUCCUGAAAUCAACUGCCUCGGAUCGGCACAGUGAGAUGAAAUUACCAGAACCCUGCCCUGUCUAAGGAGAAAAGGCUCAACCAGAUGACAUCUCUGACUGGAGUGUGAGCCAGGAUCCAAGCUCCAGGUCAGUGAUUUGUCACUCCUUUCUUGUUGGAUUUUAAAGAAGAAAUUUAUCCUAGAAAAGGGAGGGUGAGAAACAGAUUAGCUAGGAUAGUUCACACAAGAGUGAACAAAUACACACCUUAUAAACAUCAGC